UUCACCCAUUUAUCGCGGGACAUCAUGCGGGUCACGGCAACUUAUCUGAGAGGACACUGGCCCAUUUUUUAAGCACGGCCUUGCAGGAGUCACAUGGCUUGGGGAAGAGGCCUGAGGAUAGCAGUGCCUCAUCAUCAGCCACCAACCACGAGAUCACAAGAGGGAAGAGCAGAAAACACAGGGAAUUCGACAAAGAGGAUUUCUGAAGCAGCAAGUGACUCGUGGAAUAACACAGAUAAGCUGCCCAUUAGUGAUGCUCUAUCAUUUGUGAGGACGCCUCAAUGUCAGGAAGUCUGAUUCACUCACUGGCGCGUCUGACUUUCUUAAGCCCCAAAUAAGAAGGUUUCAUAAUUAAAAAACAUGGAUCUUUGUUUAAAUGGAGACCCUGUUGCGUCGAGGUUCCCAUCAACAAGUGUUUUUUUUUCCUUAAGCCUGCCCACCCCCCCAUCUCCUUCCACCUCCCUUCUCGAUGAUCAGCCCUUGUGCUCAGUAACUCUUUUGUUCACCAAAGCAUCCCUCACAUUGCUACAUGCCUGACCGGAGACAGUACCCACUAGCACCUAGUUUGUGUCAAGACAGAGAGUGUUUCCCUCCGAACACAGCGGACAGAGGAGAGUCAGGAGCAUGUGGAGGAGAUCCACAACAAAGAUGACCUCAAGGCAUUCCUGUAGCCACUAAUUACUAGCGAAUUACUAGCGGUGCAUUUCUGGCAUGCCACAUUGUAAGAAGUCCAGCUGAGCCAGGGGAUUCUCAUUAAUACCUCCACUGUUAAGGACUUUCAUUGUGUGCUGAAACUUGAGAGCUGUGCAUAGUUACCUGAGCUCCAGAGAGAUGACUCUCCGCAGACCAGCUGCCCACCUACGAAGGGCCCCGGGUUGGAGGAGCUCAGGAGAUGAGACCUACUGGGAGAGCUUGAUAGCAGAGGGGGAGGUUGUACCCCGUGCCACUCACCCCCAGCGCGCACCCCGGCCCCAGAGCGCCAUUGAAGGCCGACAGCUGGACGGUUGGCUGGAGCACCUGCAGAGGAUGCAGAACGACCUUCUCAGAGCCCCAGUCCACGAUCAGGUUCCAGCUUUCAACGACCGGACAACAUCCAUGCCCGCUCUCCACAAAGAGCCAACCAGACGUGCCUGGAGACAACCGGGGAUUCCUUCCUUCAGCAGGGGCUCAUCCUCUUGUGGGAGUCCCAGCCUGUGUGAGAGUUCGCUGGGCAGCCAGGAGUCCCUCCAGACCGGAUUUUAUUCCCCGCCCGAGCGCAGAGGAAGCUGGGAGAGAGCUCACAUCAUGCAGGCCCCAAGCAAGGAGCAGGCUGAACUCAGUUAUCUCGCUCCAGUCAAAAUUGGGUGGCUGCCUAUCCAAAGGAGAGUGGUGGUGGCUGGUGCUGGCAACCAACGACAGUUUCCGGACCACUCAGCCGGCCAGGUAAAAUUGAAACAGCCCAUCACUCCAACAAUCCAGAAGAAUCAAGCCACAGCCAGGCACCAGGAUGACGAGGUGGAGAGAAGUCGCACCAGUCCAAGCGCUUUGGCUGCGAAGACGUGGUCGACACCUAGUCAAGACUCUUCCAUUACCAGACAGACGCUGCAGGUGCCAGUAAAGCUUAGCUUUCCAGCCAAUGAAGGGGACGGACCUGUGGGAUGGCAAGCUCUGAGGAGAGGCUGGAAUACCAACAGGGUGUCUGCAUUCCCUGGAGGCAGUCAGACCAAUGAGCUCUCCACAGGGACCAGCUAUGACCCCCACAGGAAGUCCCCUCCGAUGAAAACAAUCAGCACGGAGCCCCUCAGGCACGGUCCACAUCGAACAACGUCUGCUGAGCCCUGCAAACCACACACUCCGCUGCAAGGGACAAGCAGCACAGAGAAGUCGUAUACUCCUUUGCAUAGGACAAGCAGUGUUCAGCCUAUAAGGGCGACAGCCCCACUGUGCAGCACAAACAGUAGCUUGCAGCCCUCACGCACACAGUCGAGCUCUGCUGUGACGACAAUCAUCCCUCAGAACAAAGCUGGCUUCUCCUCCAUCACCAUCUCCUCCAGGAAAGUGAGCAGGUCCGCCAGUUUGCCUGGCUCGGACACCCAGAACCACUCCUCCCAAUCCCCUUCUCCGCCAAUGGCACACCAGUCGAGAGACCUAAACUCCAGGCAAAUCACAGUGCAGCGGAAGGCCACUAUAGUCAAAGUGACAGAGCAAAGGAUGAUGACCAGCCCUGGCCAGAGCAGAAAAAGUCCUGGGGCUCCACCAGAUAGCCAUGCUUUGGACACAGUGGUCCACAGAAGAAAGGCGACCAUAAUCAAAGUGACAGAACACAGGGAGAGCUACAGUCCAGCCAAAGUGGGCUCUGGGACGAGGCACGCACAGUACAGACACAGCUACACAGAUGGACUGUACAAGGGAAACAGCAUGUGGAGUCAGGGAAACGUUUCACAGCACAAUGCAGCACCUUCAUAUCACCAUCUGGAUUCGACAAACGCUGCUGCAGCACCACAUAAACCCACUUCAGAAGCAGAGAGAAAUGGUGGAGCCCUACACAGGUCCACGCUGAACCUCUUUGUGAGCACCCCCCCUGCCAUAGCAGCACCCGCUCCCUCAGAGGUUCCUCUGAGGGCUGCUGGAAAGAGAUCGGACAGGCCGCACAGACCACUGAGCUGUUAUGGCAAUGUGUUCGGACACACUGAGCCAAGCGAGGAGAAUGUGACUCGACCGACUGCCAGGAAAUUGAGCUUUGGGCUUGCACAUGAGACCAAUAUCAACCCUGUGAACCCCGACAGUAGUUUCAUCAGCCCUCAACCGGCGGAGAAGGAAGCAGGUCGGUUUGUGGCAGACACCCUCGCGCCCAACGGAGGCGAGAAAGAGAGACUGCCGCCAGAGAAUGCAGAGAGGAGAGUGUCCCCCUGUCUGACUCUCAUCAAGGCCCCGGAUCCCCACUUGAAUCAGUCCCCAGAGGAAGUGCUCGCCCUCAACGCGGCUGCCAUCAUAGCAAAUAUCAAACUCCAAAGGCAACUCAGCAAGAAGAAAACGCCAAACGGCCGAUCUGAGAAGGACCCCGCACCACCCGAGGGAAACACUGAUGAGGGGAGGCCACAUCCGGAUCAGAGCCAAGUUCAGCGCCACAAGAAGCCUCACGCUGCUUUCGUUCCUCUGACUCCUGAACUCGAAAGGUCACCGAAAACUUUGUCUCUGCAGGACGCGCUGCAGAGGUCCAGACCAGACUUCAUCAGUCGUUCCCAGGGCAGACUGCGAGAGCUGGAGCGAAGGACACAAGAGAGGAGGGAGCUGGCACAUUCGGUAGACCCGCAGUCGAAAGCUGCUCUCAGGCAGAGGAGAGUCCACAGGGCCCGAUCCACCUCGUUGAACGAUAACCUUUUCAAACCCAGAGAUAAAGCCAUUACUGGGCAAGAGACGCAGCUCAGAUCUAAGCGCAUGCAAGCAGAAGUGAAGAGGAAAAACGAAGAGAGGAGGAGGGAGAUGUGUUUGAGCAACCGGCAGCGAGUUGAACUUUUCAAAAAGCGAAGUAGCUGCUGGAAAUAAUGGCCUCACAUCACCUACCAACUCCAUUAUGGUUCACCGAGGAGACUAGUGUUGGGUGUGACCAAUGAGAGGUUGCUGGAUCAGGUUCUUCACAGGGGCAACAGGUGAAUUGCAGACAACGGGUGAUGAAGAUGAGGACAGCCGAGCCCUCAGAAUUGUAUGACCCCCUGAUGAAGUGAAGAUUGUCUAUCGACGAGGCUGCAUAUGAAUCAAAAUGUCAGCGUAUGUCGUGGUAUAACUUACUUGUCCUUGAGCGCCUGUUGUCUUCUCUCUCACAUGCAGCACGUUCGCGUUAAAGAGCACAACAUCUGUUUUUCUGCAAUAAGAUAAAUCCACGGCAACCUUUCAAAAAAAAAAA